CUAAUUAGUCAACCAUGGAGAUAUUUUGCUGGUCAGUUAGCCACUUAUCUAUGAAUUACCAAUGGGGUUCAGAAUUCGCAUCUUAUGAAGAUCUCGCGACAAAUAAAUGGUUAAGCAUAGGGCACUCUGGAUCUUUUCGCAGCUCAUGUGAUUCUCUGGACUAAACUAGAUGCUCUUUGGACUUAUUCACAUCUACAGCUUACAAUAGGAUUUUAUUUCAGCCGCGUAGGUAAGGAUUCGAAAAAAAUCUUUAGCUAUACUAUAUUUUUCACAGGUUUGUUGUGAAGAAAGCUCUUUGCAAGCCUAAAAGUGCUACAUGAAUGUUAGUUGCUGUUGCUAUUAGAGUCAUAGUAUGACAUCUUGGAAAAAGCACUGGACUUGGAGUCAGGAAAACUAUGAGUCUGCAUAGGCCCAGUAUUUCUGAAUAUUGCAUCACCAUUCAGCAACUAUUGGCACAAUGACUGUGCCAAUUAACACAAAUUCUUGAGGAAAUUUUCUGCUUGUUUAUACUAAAUAGUGGAAAAAGUGCUUGAAGGAGAGUUUGAAGACCUACCAUUAAAUCCUUCCAUCUUGGGCAAGUCACUUACUCUAUGCCUUAGUCAUUUCAUCUGUGAAACGGGGAUAACAAUACUUGGCAACUUCCUGCACAGGGACAUUGUAAGGAAAGUGUUUUGUUUUGAUUUGGUUUUAUUGUCCCCCUCUUUAAAGCUUUGGGUGCUGUAGAAAGGAAAUGGCCAAUGUUUCAGAAUCACACAGAAGCUAAUAUUUUGGAAGUAGCAAGCUAUUACGUAUUCAUAUCCUUUGACUCAGAGAUUUCAUUUUAAGGCAUAGCCCAAGGGGAUCAAUGACAAAAGGAAAGGCUCCAUAUACACCAAAAUAUUUGGACUACUUUUUGUGGUGGCAAAGAACUGGAAAUAAAAUUGAUGUCCAUCCUGUG